rnacentral:sRNA from 1 species
AUUUAUCGCAGCAAUCCACCUCCUCCCGGAAAGCUGCGAUCGACCAGCGGUCACCUCCUCCCGACCGUGGGUCAUUUUCAGAAAGCCUGCCGCACCUCCUCCCGCGGCAGGCUUUUUUC